GAUGAACGCUGGCGGCGUGCCUAACACAUGCAAGUCGAACGGAGUCCAGCCUUUAAGACCUUCGGGUCAAAGAGGGGAAGACUGAGUGGCGGACGGGUGAGUAACACGUGGGCAACCUGGCUCAUAGAGGGGGAUAACAGAGAGAAAUUUCUGCUAAUACCGCAUAAGCACACACUGCCGCAUGGCAGAGGGUGAAAAGAGAAUCGCUAUGAGAUGGACCCGCGUCUGAUUAGCCAGUUGGCAGGGUAAGAGCCUACCAAAGCGACGAUCAGUAGCCGAGCUGAGAGGAUGAACGGCCACAUUGGGACUGAGACACGGCCCAAACUCCUACGGGAGGCAGCAGUGGGGGAUAUUGCACAAUGGGGGGAACCCUGAUGCAGCGACGCCGCGUGAGUGAAGAAGUAUUUCGGUAUGUAAAGCUCUAUCAGCAGGGAAGAUAAUGACAGUACCUGAAUAAGAAGCCCCGGCUAACUACGUG
rnacentral:rRNA from 1 species